GGUAUUCAUCAGUAAUGGGGCUGGGAAUUUUCCCAAAUCAUCCCCUAAGAGAGUUUUAUUAUACAAGGUCAAAAAUGUGCUGAAAGUGUACCAAACAAGUAUAAAAAACAGAGUCUUCAACACAUCAGCAGCAGACACAGGGCUCUUAGUCUUCAGUGGCAACUUUUCAUGAUUACCAAAAGAAUCAGCAGUAUCAUCACUACUAUUUGAUGGUCGUAUCUCCUUGGGAGACCCAUUUUCAAUAUCAAAUGGCACAUAAUUCUCUUUGUCUUUCCCUCUGUUGUGUAUGUUGAUUUCAUGAUCCAUGGUGUGUAUAUUGACUUCAUGAUCCAUGGUGUGUAUAUUGAUUUCCUGAUCCAUGGUAUUACUAUCAUUCAAGUGCACACUUCUCCUCUGAAACUUAUUCUUAUAUUGAUAUCUAUCAGUAUCUACGUCCCCAUUUUCUAACUUGUCGGACGGAAGAAAAGGCAACUCAAAAUCAGAGCCUUCAACGCUUCCAUCAGAAUUUUCUAAUUGACGAUCAAAAUGAACAUUUCCAUCUUCAUCGCACCAGCGUGAGAAUGAAGGAUCUCUGCGAAUAGGUGAACCUUGAAUUUCACUAGAAUUGUAAUUAACUCCAGUGUACUCAACCUGUCGUUUUACUCGUUUAUUAUCAAAACAACUCUCUACCAUCUCCCUUUGUAAUCUAACUAAAAGCCAUCGACAUACUCCAAAUCAAGCCAACACACACAUACCUAAUGGCGAAUCAUCACUCUCAAAUUUCAAUAGUUAACACAGACAUUUCAUAAUGGCAUGUCAUGCUAAGCCACAGCAUUCGGUGAAAGGGAUUUCCAAAUCCAAAACUCGAAACCCAUCGAAG
rnacentral:misc_RNA from 1 species